GGUGGCGUGUCCGAGCGGCCGAAGGAGCAUGUCUCGAAAACAUGUGAUGGUGCAAGCCAUCCGUGGGUUCAAAUCCCACCGCCACCG
rnacentral:tRNA from 2 species